rnacentral:rRNA from 1 species
CUGCGGGGAGGCCUUUACACAUGCAAGUCGACGGUGUCUUCGGACAUAGCUGGCGGACGGGUGAGUAACGCGUGAGAAUCUGGCUUUAGGUCUGGGACAACCACUGGAAACGGUGGCUAAUACCGGAUGUGCCCUUUGGGGUGAAAGAUUAAUUGCCUGAAGAUGAGCUCGCGUCUGAUUAGCUAGUUGGAAGUGUAAUGGACUCCCAAGGCGACGAUCAGUAGCUGGUCUGAGAGGACGAUCAGCCACACUGGGACUGAGACACGGCCCAGACUCCUACGGGAGGCAGCAGUGGGGAAUUUUCCGCAAUGGGCGAAAGCCUGACGGAGCAAUACCGCGUGAGGGAGGAAGGCUCUUGGGUCGUAAACCUCUUUUCUCAGGGAAGAACACAAUGACGGUACCUGAGGAAUAAGCAUCGGCUAACUCCGUGCCAGCAGCCGCGGUAAUACGGAGGAUGCAAGCGUUAUCCGGAAUGAUUGGGCGUAAAGCGUCCGCAGGUGGCAAUGUAAGUCUGCUGUUAAAGAGUCUAGCUCAACUAGAUAAGAGCAGUGGAAACUACAUAGCUAGAGUACGUUCGGGGCAGAGGGAAUUCCUGGUGUAGCGGUGAAAUGCGUAGAAAA